GUUUGCGGUGCGCCUUAUGCAUGCAAGUUGUACGGGGUUAUGGUUUUCGGACUGUAAUCUAGUGGCGAACGGCUGAGUAACACAUAAGUAACCUACCUUCAAGUGGGGAAUAACCUGCCGAAAGACAGGCUAAUACCGCAUAUGAUACUCAAGGAUUGCUUGGUUAUUAAAGCCUUAGGGUGCUUGAAGAGGGACUUAUGUCUGAUUAGCUAGUUGGUAGGGUAACGGCUUACCAAGGCGAUGAUCAGUAGCUGGUCUGAGAGGAUGUCCAGCCAGAUGGGGACUGAGAUACGGCCCCAACUCCUAUGGGAGGCAGCAGCAAGGAAUUUUGGGCAAUGGGCGAAAGCCUGACCCAGCGACACCGCGUGAGGGAAGAAGGCCUUCGGGUUGUAAACCUCUUUUCUCGAGGAAGAAUUUUGACGGUACUCGAGGAAUAAGUCUCGGCUAACUACGUGCCAGCAGCCGCGGUAAUACGUAGGAGGCGAACGUUAUCCGGAUUUACUGGGCGUAAAGAGAGCGUAGGUGGUUCCUUAAGUCAGGUGUGAAAUCUUCUGGCUCAACCAGGAGAGGUCAUCUGAUACUGUGGAGCUUGAGGGCAGCAGAAGGAAAUGGAAUUCCCAGUGUAGCGGUGAAAUGCGUUGAUAUUGGGAAGAACACCAGUGGCGAAGGCGAUUUCCUAGGUUGUUCCUGACACUGAGGCUCGAAAGCGUGGGGAGCGAAGCGGAUUAGAUACCCGCAUAGUCCACGCCGUAAACGGUGGACACUAGAUAUGGGAAGUUAUCGACGCUUUCUGUGCCGAAGCUAACGCAUUGAGUGUCCCGCCUGGGGAGUACGGCCGCAAGGCUAAAACUCAAGGAAUUGA
rnacentral:rRNA from 1 species